rnacentral:rRNA from 1 species
UACGGGGGGGGGCAAGCGUUGUUCGGAAUUACUGGGCGUAAAGGGUCUGUAGGUGGCCAACUAAGUCAUACGUGAAAUCCCUCAGCUUAACUGGGGAACUGCGUCUGAUACUGGUUGGCUUGAGUGCAGGAGAGGAACGCGGAAUUCCAGGUGUAGCGGUGAAAUGCGUAGAUAUCUGGAGGAACACCGGUGGCGAAGGCGGCGUUCUGGACUGCAACUGACACUGAAAGACGAAAGCCAGGGGAGCAAACGGG